rnacentral:piRNA from 1 species
UGUCCUUUCCAUAGCAUUACU